GACUCAGCCGAACGCCGUUGAGCCCGCGUGCGGGUCCGCGCUUCCCUCCCGGGACGCGGUCCGCGCGUGUGCUGGCUCCGGUUUGCGGCGCAUUUCCUCCCGUCCUCCGACGCCGCGACCGGUCGGGCGCGCCACGAGCAGUCGGCCUUACUCGCGGGAAACGGAAGGUAGCCGGGUCGGCGCGCACGCGCCGAUCCCCGGUGUUCUAGCCGUCCCGCAAUCGAGUCAGCCGUUCGCCCGACCGCAGGACCCAAGGCCCUUAGGGGCCCCGCCGUGCCCUCCCCGUCUCAGGGGAUCGCAGCCCGCCUCGGAAGGGAUGCCGCUUUGUCCCCGCGUCGCACCUCCGGUGCGCGUGGGGCGGCGGCGCCCGCUGGCCGGGGCGGUUACGAUUCGGGCGCCGGCGGUCCGCGGCGAGUAGGUCGGUCACCCACUCGACCCGUCUUGAAACACGGACCAAGGAGUUUAACAUGCACGCGAGUCACUGGGUCGUGAGCAGGCCCAAGGGCGCAAUGAAAGUGAAGGGCGGCCCAUGCCGUCCGCGUUGGGAUCCCCCGGCCUCCGCGCCGGGGGCGCACCAACGGCUCGUCCGGGCCGCCACGUCGGCCGGGCGAAGCUAGAGCGUGCACGUUGAGACCCGAAAGAUGGUGAACUAUGGCUGGGCAGG
rnacentral:rRNA from 1 species